rnacentral:antisense_RNA from 1 species
CUUCACCGACCCCAGCCACAACGGCGACUCCCGGUCCUGACCGUAGGCCGCCAGCAACGCCUGCGCCUC